GUUUGGAGAAAAUAUACAGUCUGACCUGCCCACUGAGUUGUUAAAGGGCCGCGGUAUCUGAACCGUGCUAAGGUAGCAUAAUAAAUAGUCUUUUAAUUGGGGUCUAGUAUGAAUGGUCGGACAGGGGGCAAGCUGUCUUGGUUAUAAAGUUUGAAUUUUACUUUUAAGUGAAAAGGCUUAGAUUAGAUGGUGGGACGAUAAGACCCUGUGAAGCUUUAACAUGUGGGUCGUAAGUUGGAGAAAUUAGGGUGUUCUGUUCUUAUCGGCUAGGGUGUUUCGUUGGGGCGACGGAAAUAUAAAUAGUAACUGUUUUUUUUGGAAAAUAGAUCUUUUUAGGUGACUUGAUCCUUUGUUAGGAUUAUAAGAAUAAAGUUACUUCAGGGAUAACAGCGUAAUUUUUCUUGAGAGUUCAUAUCGACAGAAGUAGUUGCGACCUCGAUGUUGAAUUAAGGUGUCCUUAAGGUGUAGCAGCUUUGGGGGUGGGUCUGUUCGACCUUUAAAGC
rnacentral:rRNA from 1 species